rnacentral:rRNA from 1 species
UACGUAGGGCGCAAGCGUUGUCCGGAAUCAUUGGGCGUAAAGAGCUCGUAGGCGGCCUGUCGCGUCUGCUGUGAAAUCCCGGGGCUCAACCCCGGGCGUGCAGUGGAUACGGGCUGGCUAGAGGCAGGCAGGGGAGAACGGAAUUCCCGGUGUAGCGGUGAAAUGCGCAGAUAUCGGGAGGAACACCAAUGGCGAAGGCAGCUCGCUGGGACGUGACUGACGCUGAGACGCGAAAGCGUGGGGAGCAAACAGG